rnacentral:misc_RNA from 1 species
GGAAGGAUCAUUAACACAAAAUCCGAACCUAACUUAAUGUACUGGAGGUGGGAGGAGAAAAAGUGGUUUUAAAUGCGCAAGCACGAAAAGCCACUCUUUCUCUCCUCACUCUUCAAUUUUGAACCUAUUAUUCAAUCUUAAAUGAUUAAGCUUUCUUAAUAAACAAAAAAGAAAAUUUUCAACGAUGGAUAUCUUGGUUCCCAUAACGAUGAAGAACGCAGCGAAAUGCGAUACGCAAUGCGAAUUGCAGAAUUCCGCGAGUCAUCAGAUCUUUGAACGCAGCCGGCGCUGGCGGGCUCUCCCACCAGCAUGUUUGUUUCAGUGUGUUUGGUUGACUUCAUACAACUCAAUGCGAUUGAGAAGCGUUUACUCGCUUUUCUCUCGUGAAAGAGGAGUGCGCGCGGCUCGCAUCCGCCGACGAAGUGGUCACUGUUUACAGUGAUUUCGUUGGAAUCACAGAUGCAGGCCAAUUAAACCGCGCAUUUUUAACCAAAACUCUUCAAUCGGCACCUGAAAUCAAGCAAGAUUACCCGCUGAACUUAAGCAUAUCAGUAAGCGGAGGAAAAGAAACUAACAAGGAUUACCUCAGUAGCGGCGAGUGAAGAGGUAAGAGCUCACACUUAAAAUCUGAGGCGGCGACGUCACAGAAUUGUAAUCUAGAGAAUCAUGCAGAAGGAGGGGUCCUCGCAAAAGUCGCUGGAACUCGACGGCACAGAGGGUGAUACUCCCGUGUUUGGCGAAGGACCCACUGUAUGCGUGGUUUCGAAGAGUCGGGUUGUUUGGGACUGCAGCCCUAAAUGGGAGAUAAACUUCUUCUAAAGCUAAAUAUUUAUGGGAAACCGAUAGCGAACAAGUACUGCGAAGGAAAGAUGAAAAGAACUUUGAAAAGAGGGUUAAAAGACUUGAAAUCGUUGAAAAGGAAGCGGUAGAAGAAGCUCAUUUGGAUGUGACGUUUGGCGUGAGGGGGCCGGCCCGCAUGGUGCGUAGUUCUUCAUUGGCUUGCGCUGUGCUUGGUAACGGACCCCUGCGUCUUUUUCACGUUCAAAAGGCAAGAUGAGGUCUACACUACGGGAAUCACGAUUUGAGACGCCCCUGGCUCUGCCUGGAGCUUGAGUCGAAAGCCGUAGCUAGGCCUGAGGGUCCUGAUGGAGAUCUUGCCAAAAUGGCUUCUACCGACCCGUCUUGAAACACGGACCAAGGAGUCUAACACGUGUGCGAGUCUGCGGGUGCAAAAACCCAUAGGCGCAACGAAAGUGAGAAUAAGAUGCCAACCGCAAGGCGCAGCAUCGUCCGACCUUGAUCUUCUGUGAAGGGUUCGCGAAAGAGCACACUUGUUAGGACCCGAAAGAUGGUGAACUAUACUUGAGUAGGGUGAAGCCAGGGGAAACUCUGGUGGAAGCUCGUAGCGGUACUGACGUGCAAAUCGUUCGUCAAACUUGAGUAUAGGGGCGAUAGACUAAUCGAACCAUCUAGUAGCUGGUUCCCUC